CCAACAUCUUUACUGUGAUGCAUUAUUCACUUACUCCAGCUAGACCCUAUUCAAAGCACACACUUUAUACACAGAAACCCAUGAGGUGUGUAUCGUUUCCCCAUUUCAGAGGAGGAGACUGAGCCCCUCAGAGUCUGGGUGAAUUGCCCAACAUCACACAGCUAUUAAGGGAAGCUCAGUACUCUCUACGGGAUGAAAACCGUGAAUUGAUAUACACACACAGAGCCUCCACCAGCAGCCAUGAAGUUUGCAGCCAAGACAAAAAAGAAUAUCCGAACCAGAGCUCUUCCAGAAUAGAAGCAGUUGCUUCAACCAGCAGGAAAUGUUCUGUUCAUGGACAAGUCCAAGCCCCGAAGCCUUGCCAGGACGGUGGCCAAGCAUCACGUGGUGGAGGUUAGGCGGUCUACCUGCCCUACACAAUGUCUCCGUCUUACAAUAAAAUGAUGAGUUUUACAGUUUUAUGGAACA
rnacentral:lncRNA from 1 species